rnacentral:rRNA from 1 species
UGGACCUACGGGGGGCAGCAGUGGGGAAUAUUGCACAAUGGGGGAAACCCUGAUGCAGCAACGCCGCGUGAGUGAAGAAGUAUUUCGGUAUGUAGAGCUCUAUCAGCAGGGAAGAAUAUGACAGUACCUGACUAAGAAGCACCGGCUAAAUACGUGCCAGCAGCCGCGGUAAUACGUAUGGUGCAAGCGUUAUCCGGAUUUACUGGGUGUAAAGGGAGCGCAGGCGGCGCGUUAAGCCUGGUGUGAAAGCCCGCGGCCCAACCGCGGGACUGCAUUGGGAACUGGCGCGCUGGAGUGCCGGAGGG